UAUUUAGAUGAGCAGACUACGAGGAUUUCCCUAGUAACGGCGAGUGAAUGGGAAGUUUGUCCAACGCUGAAGCUAUAACGGUGAGAAUUGUUAUGAGCAAUGUAGCGUAAGAGAACGUGUGAAAUAAGGUUUAUAUACGACUUAAGUUCCUUUAGGGAGGACUUUAACCCAUAGAGGAUGAAAAGUCCGUAAAGUGUAUAUAAUUAUUAAAUCUUUGGAUAAUGGUAAUUUAUAGCCUAUUUCCUGUUUCUCGAGAGUCAGGUUGCUUGAGAGUGCAACCCUAAGUGGGAGGUAAACUCCUUCUAAGACUAUAAUACAGCCACAAGGCCGAUAGCAAACAAGUACCGUGAGGGAAAGUUGAAAAGUACUCUGAAGAGAGAGUCCAAAAGAACGUGAAAUCGUUUGUAUGGAAACAGGUAAAGUGACGAACUGGAUACUUUACGAUUGUGGGAUCCGUCUUUAUUGCAUUGCUUAGGCGGUAAAUGACAGUAAAUAUGAUCGGUUGCAAGAUUGGUCUAUUGCUGUUUGAUAUCGUGUUUUUUUAAGUAUUGCAUAGAGUUUAUGUCCUAAUGUAGUCGUUAGAAUGAACGUUGUGACCAGUUUCUAAACAACAAAGAGGCUAUGGCAUAAGGUGUUUACGUGUUAGAUUGCCAUAUCGACAGAUAUGACCUAGGUUUGCGAACGGUCUACCGUAAUGUUAUAAAUGUUAUGGCGUCGUUUAUUUGGUUGUCUUUAGAGAUUGUGGUUCAUAUGUAUGUUUUGCAUUAAUGCAUAAUAUAUUGAUUGCUUACUUGUUUGCUACGAGUGCAUGGUCACGUACUUUGUGUAAAGACCAGUAUACGUAGUGUACGGUGAAGUAGGCUAUAUUUUUUUGAAUAUUGUGGGUCAACAGCGAUUAUCGCUUUUUUACCUGACCCGUCUUGAAACACGGACCAAGGAGUCUAAUGUACAUGGGAGUUUUCAAGUUAUGAAAACUAAUAGAAUGAAGAAGCGUAAUGAAAGUAAAUGAUGUAGAGUGUGUAUGUAUGUACAUUCUCAGAUAUGAUCCAUGAAUAUACAAAUAGUUAGAAGUUGGCGCAGUGUUAGCCUGUUGAAAACGCAUACCUUUAUUGGUACAAAGACGAAAAGAUUGAGCUUGAACAUGUGCAUUGGGACCCGAAAGAUGGUGAACUAUGUUUGGACAGGACGAAGCCGGAGGAAACUCUGGUGGAGGUCCGAAGCGGUUCUGACGUGCAAAUCGAUGGUCAGAUCUGAAUAUAGGGGCGAAAGACUAAUCGAACCAUCUAGAGUUGC
rnacentral:rRNA from 1 species